ACAAGUUUAUGGCUCAGUUAAUUUCCAGAUUUGUCCCUGUCUGGUCUAUGAGAUUUGAUGUGUGUGUCUGUCUCUUUGUAUUAUGUCUGUGCGUUAUCGUGUUGUUCUUGUGUGUAUUUACAGGUCUGCCAAUUUGGGUCAGAACCCACUUGUGAAUCUGAUCUGGUGUGUUCAGGUGUCCUGAGACAGGGGGCGCUGUUUCUAAAAUGAGUUCCUCAGAGGAGACCGAGACUGACGAUGGAACCCACGGCCCUGCGAGAAAGAGGGUUCGGGUAGCGAGGGCUGGGUCACCUGUACCCAGCCGUCUGUCUAUGAAGAGUGACCGUUCAAUGACUCAUCCAUACAACUUAAGAGGAGAGGUCACAGGUGAUCAAAGGGUUCGGGUAGCGAGGGCUGGGUCACCUGUACCCAGCUGUCUGUCUAUGAAGAGUGACCUUUCAAUGACUCAUCCAUACAACUUAAGAGGAGUGGUCACAGGUGAUCAAAGGGUUCGGGUAGCGAGGGCUGGGUCACCUGUACCCAGCUGUCUGUCUAUGAAGAGUGACCGUUCAAUGACUCAUCCAUACAAUUUAAGAGGAGUGGUCACAGGUGAUCAAAGGGUUCGGGUAGCGAGGGCUGGGUCACCUGUACCCAGCCGUCUGUCUAUGAAGAGUGACCGUUCAAUGACUCAUCCAUACAACUUAAGAGGAGUGGUCACAGGUGAUCAAAGGGUUCGGGUAGCGAGGGCUGGGUCACCUGUACCCAGCUGUCUGUCUAUGAAGAGUGACCGUUCAAUGACUCAUCCAUACAACUUAAGAGGAGUGGUCACAGGUGAUCAAAGGGUCCGGGUAGAGAGGGCAGGGUCACCUGUACCCAGCUGUCUGUCUAUGAAGAGUGAUCAUUCAAUGCCUCUUCCAUACAACUUCAGAGGAGAGUUCACAGGUGAUC